CAAGCGUCGAUUCUGAGAAUUCCAACGCAAGCUGACUAACUUACUAGCUAGCUAGCUAGCUAGCUUCUAGAUACGGACGAAGGGAACACCCAUACAUUUAUAAUAUUAAUGGAAUCUUAAUGAGGUCGCCGACAGGCUGCCGAUAAAGGCUACCUACCACACAACAACAACGACGAUGAGCAACGUCUUCGAAGAAGACGAGAGGAGUCUAUUCGAUUCUAUGGACACCCGUUGGUUGGUUGGUUGGUUGGUUGGAUCAGAGCACGUGUUCGUGAGCUCUCUGGCUAACGCAUAUCGUGGCAAUGUCCGCUACGUAGAGUGCAAUGACGUAGGUAUAAUUAAAAACACGACGGGCCUAAGAAGUUGCCAACAACAGCGAGUUUGCGCGUUUCAUUCGGACUCGAUAACGCUCGUCGAAUGUUUUAAAUUCCAUCCAUCCAUUCCCACCCCACUCCGCCCCAAACCAACCCAACCGACCCAAUGUAUACAAUUUUCUGCCUAUAAAUAAUUAAAAUAUACAUUUGCAAGUUCAAUUAUUGAUAUUACACAAUAUUAAUAAAUACAAUCAGGUCGUGAAGACCAGACGAUCGAAAUUGAAACAAAAUAACGUUUAUCUAAGGGGAAGAAAAAAGAAACGAUUAUUUUCUUAAUCGCGCCGAUGGAACAACACAUCGAUCUCUCUAUCGACAUAAUCAUUUUCUAAAUAAGUAAGGUUAUAAGAUAAUUACAUUGCGUGGCAUCUUUCUGUGAUUCUAUUAAAUGCUAACCAAAAGUUUGUACGUUUAUCGUAUUACAAAUUGUAUUGUAAAUUGCCUAAUGGUUGUUUCUGUUAAAAUUAACUUUGGAAAUAUUAAUAUUAAAAAACCGCACGAACCAUAGAUUUACCCUAAUAUUUAAAAAACGUUCUCCCGUUCGGAAUGUCGAGAAAGGAGUUUCGCAUCUUCGGUGGCGCGGUAUGCGCGCCAAAAGGGCUCCUCGGUCGAUAUUUUCUCUCAUCGCGCGCGAAGCAGUUGCGCGGUUGGAGAGGGAGAAGCGGAGGAGGAGGAGGAGGAGUUGGGGGAGUUGGGAAAGGAAGGAGGAUGGAUUGUUGAAGCUCGAGAAAAAGAAAAGCUCGAGAAAAGCAAGCGCGCUUCUCGAGGAAACAAA
rnacentral:lncRNA from 1 species